UGUAUGUGUUUCCAAUAUUGGUUAAUUGUUCUUAAUUUCGUAUAUAUAGUGUUAGAAUUCAAUGUUAAUAUACAUACAUAUUGUUACGAGUUCAGAUAUACUAAUCCGUUUUGUGUGCUGGGCUUAUUCCUUCGCUGUAGGUUAUUGCCGAUUGAUUUUGUGUGGAUUCCUGUGUUGUGUCCGUAUUGUUUUAUUUAGAAAUUUAAGAUAAUGUUGACCUCUUUUAGUAUAAUGUGCACUAGUAAUUGUUUUAUCACUUUGUUUCAAAACGUUUUAAUAUGUUCACUGAGUAGAAUGUCUCACUUCGGUUUGAUUCCGUAUUCGCUUGUACUUUCACUUGUGCUUGAUUGCUGUGUUGGCGGGAUAAUAAUGACCUUUUUGUCAAAAGCGCGGGAAAAUCGUCUUCUUUUUUGUCUCUUUUUUCGCCUGUUGCGUGAAGUUGGGGCGGUUGAUAUUCCUCUGCAUUGCGCCUCUAUUACUUUAUGUAAUUUGUGGGAGUAAUGCAGAGGAGUAUUUGUUUGGAUUAAACAAUUAUAGUAUAUGUAAAAUGUGUCUUUUUUACAGAUCAUAAUAAAGCGUUGCGCACCUCGAAGGAGCAAAUCGAGUGCUAUCUGAACUUUGUGCGGGUUCAUCCUGAAAUAAAGUUGCAUAAAAACGACCCAUCGCGGCCGAAAAGGGUUGAGGAGCUUUGGGCGAAACUCUCUGUACAAUUAAAUGGCCUAAAGGGGCCCAUCCGGAACUCCAUCAUGUCCUUUGUUUGACAGAAUCUGAGCCAAUGGAAAAAUCAAAUACGGUCACGUGCAAGGAGAUCCAAGGCGCACAAGCUGGUGACAGGUGGCGGUCACAGCUCAACAAUUGAGCUCUCUGAAACGGAGCAGAGAGCAUUGGAUACGUUGGGGUCAAUUGCGGUUGAUGGGUUGGCUGAUGUACAUACCAGCCACUGGCACAGAGGAAGAAGUAGUUUUCACAGCUGCACCAUCACCCCUGAUGACGACUUCGGAUGCGUCCAAUGACUGCACUCCGUCAUGGUCCCGUACCAAACAAAAUUACGACGGACGAAAUGUUCAGGAAUUACAUGGAUUUGAUGAAAGAAAAAGCCGAGGAGGACAGACUUUCCGGAUUCAAACAUUAGAUUUCAUUAACAAACACACGGAAUCUAUUAAUAAUUUAGCGGCAGCGAUGGUGGCGCUUGCUCAGACCAUUGUAAAAAACACAGAAGAUUUGUACAAAAAAGUGAAAGUGAAAAAUGUGCUUUUUUAUGUAUAUAUGAAUUAUUUUAUUG